rnacentral:lncRNA from 10 species
GGGGUUUCACCACGUUGGCCAAGCUGGUCUCAAACUCCUGACCUCAGGUGAUCCACCCACCUUGGCCUCCCAAAGUGCUGGAAUUAUGGGCAUGAGCCACUGUGCCUGGCUGGCCUUCUUUCCCUUCCCUGUUUGCUUUCCCACUCCCUACUGGUGCUCCCGAGCAUCACCUGCAAAAUGAUCAAGGAGUUCAUUCUUAGGUCAGGGAAUCCAUUCUGAGGUCAGGAAGUCCAUUCUGAGUUCAGAAAGUUCAUUCUGAGGUCAGAGAGUUCAUUCCUAGGUCAGGGAGUCCAUUCUUAGGUCGGGGAAUCCAUUCUGAGGUCAGGGAGUUCAUUCUGAGUUCAGAGAGUUCAUUCUGAGUUCAGAGAGUUCAUUCUGAGGUCAGAGAGUCCAUUCUGAGGUCAGGGAAUCCAUUCUGAG